rnacentral:rRNA from 1 species
AGAGUUUGAUCCUGGCUCAGAACGAACGCUGGCGGCGCGCCUAAUACAUGCAAGUCGAGCGAGAAGACGUAGCAAUACGUUUGUAAAGCGGCGAACGGGUGAGGAAUACAUGGGUAACCUACCCUCGAGUGGGGGAUAACUAGCCGAAAGGUUAGCUAAUACCGCAUACGAUUCCCGAACUGCGGUUUGGGAAGGAAAGCGAUACCGUGGGUAUCGCGCUCAUGGAUGGGCUCAUGUCCUAUCAGCUUGUUGGUGAGGUAACGGCUCACCAAGGCUUCGACGGGUAGCUGGUCUGAGAGGACGAUCAGCCACACUGGCACUGCGACACGGGCCAGACUCCUACGGGAGGCAGCAGUAAGGAAUAUUGCGCAAUGGACGAAAGUCUGACGCAGCGACGCCGCGUGGGGGAUGAAGGUCUUCGGAUUGUAAACCCCUUUCGGCAGGGAAGAUGGAACGGGUAACCGUUCGGACGGUACCUGCAGAAGCAGCCACGGCUAACUUCGUGCCAGCAGCCGCGGUAAUACGAAGGUGGCAAGCGUUGUUCGGAUUCACUGGGCGUACAGGGAGCGUAGGCGGUUGGGUAAGCCCUUCGUGAAAUCUCCGGGCCUAACCCGGAAAGUGCGGAGGGGACUGCUCAGCUAGAGGAUGGGAGAGGAGCGCGGAAUUCCCGGUGUAGCGGUGAAAUGCGUAGAGAUCGGGAGGAAGGCCGGUGGCGAAGGCGGCGCUCUGGAACAUCUCUGACGCUGAGGCUCGAAAGCGUGGGGAGCAAACAGGAUUAGAUACCCUGGUAGUCCACGCCUUAAACGAUGGAUACUAAGUGUCGGCGGGUUACCGCCGGUGCCGCAGCUAACGCAGUAAGUAUCCCGCCUGGGAAGUACGGCCGCAAGGUUGAAACUCAAAGGAAUUGACGG